rnacentral:rRNA from 1 species
UACGUAGGGCGCAAGCGUUAUCCGGAAUUAUUGGGCGUAAAGAGCUCGUAGGCGGUUUGUCGCGUCUGCCGUGAAAGUCCGGGGCUCAACUCCGGAUUUGCGGUGGGUACGGGCAGACUAGAGUGAUGUAGGGGAGACUGGAAUUCCUGGUGUAGCGGUGAAAUGCGCAGAUAUCAGGAGGAACACCGAUGGCGAAGGCAGGUCUCUGGGCAUUAACUGACACUGAGGAGCGAAAGCAUGGGGAGCGAACAGG